rnacentral:rRNA from 1 species
AACGAACGCUGGCGGCAUGCCUAACACAUGCAAGUCGAACGAGACCUUCGGGUCUAGUGGCGCACGGGUGCGUAACGCGUGGGAACCUGCCCUUAGGUUCGGAAUAACUCCCCGAAAGGGGUGCUAAUACCGGAUAAUGUCUUCGGACCAAUGACUUAUCGCCUUUGGAUGGGCCCGCGUUGGAUUAGCUAGUUGGUAGGGUAAAAGCCUACCAAGGCGACGAUCCAUAGCUGGUCUGAGAGGAUGAUCAGCCACACUGGGACUGAGACACGGCCCAGACUCCUACGGGAGGCAGCAGUGGGGAAUAUUGGACAAUGGGCGAAAGCCUGAUCCAGCAAUGCCGCGUGAGUGAUGAAGGCCUUAGGGUUGUAAAGCUCUUUUACCCGGGAUGAUAAUGACAGUACCGGGAGAAUAAGCGCCGGCUAACUCCGUG